rnacentral:lncRNA from 1 species
GUUAGAGGGGCCGUGUCUCAGCUCUGCCACCCACGUCUCAGCCCACUCGCACUCGAUUGGACAGAAUGUUAAAGAAAACUCAGAACAUAAAUCUGGGUGGGGAGAGCUAAGAACUCUACAUUAUGUUCUGUCUCGUUUCUUUUUUUAUAGCUCAUCAUAACCUAUGCCUAUUUUUCCCUUUGAAUCUUUCAUAGAUUCCAGUCAUAGGCCAGAUUCAAGACUCAACCCCAAUUAUUGGGUAUAAGAGACACAAUAGGUAUUCAAUAAACAUCGGUUGAAUUGAAUUAAAUGGGAUUGAAAUUGGCCCCACUAAGACAUAGAUCUCUUAGGGGUUGUUUGGCUGCAAAAACCAGAAAUCUAGAUGACUAGCUAAAGCUAAACAAGAAAAUUUACUGUAAGGAUACAUGGAUUUCUUUAUGAGAAAAUGCAAAAGGAAGUGGAAACUUACCAGGAAUGAAAGAGAAUGCUGUUUAUAAUUGGAGAAAUGUGGACAUGAGAGGGGCACAGAGGAAGACUACCUGAAGACACACAGAGAGAAGGUGACCACGUGGUUGGAGUGGAGCAUCUACAAACCAACACACAUACCAAGGAUUGCUGGCAAGUAUCACCAGAAGCUAGAAGAGGCAAGAAAGGAUUCUCCCCAAAGCUGUCAGCAAAAACACAGCACUGAUGGUACCUUGAUUUCAGACUUUUAGCCCCGAAACUGUGAGAGAGUAAAUUUCUGUUGUUUUAGGUGACCUGUUUUUUGGAAUUUGUUAUGUCAACUGUAGGAAAUGGAUAUUGUACAACGAUUGGGGCAUGACUUUGCAAUGGUUUACCUGCUCUCAGAUGAAAAUUUUUUUUUUUUGUUUUUUUUUUAGAUGGAGUCUUGCUCUGUUGCCCAGGCCAGAGUGUAGUGGUGCCAUCUUGGCUCACUGCAACCUCUACCUCCCGGGUUCAAGCGAUUCUCCUGCCUCAGCCUCCCGAGUAGCUGGGACCACAGCACACCACCAGGCCUGGUGAAUUUUUGUAUUUUUAGUAGAGAAAGGGUUUCACCAUGUUGGCCAGGCUGGUCUCAAACUCCUGACCUCAAGUGAUCUGCUCGCCUCAGCUUCCCAAAGUGCUGGGAUUACAGGUGUGGGCCACCACACCCUGUCUCAGAUGAAAGGUUAAUAUAAUUAAGGAACAUCUUUUUUGUUUUUUUUUUCAGAAAUUGGAAUGGGGGAGUAGCUGAACAGAAAAGUCCAUCUUGUUCAAUUCCCACAAGAACAUUUCUUUGCAAUAUUAUUGGCAGGAAUAUGCAGUAAAGUUCUAAUAACUAUUUACUCCUUUCUUUGAAACUCUAUUCAGUUAUAAUGUGUCCUGUAAAAAGUAUGACACUGAUUUCAUAGUACCAAUUUUAGCCUAAUACAUAUUUAAAUGAUUCCCAAUGUAUAAAGAUAUUUUAGUAAUAAGAAAUUAUUUAAGGAUCCCAAACAUCACAAUAAACAUAAAGCCUAGUUUUAGGUUGCAAAAAAGUAUCAAACUUUAUAAGUUUUAGUGCAAAUUAAGAGAAAUUACAUUCUAACUACACUAAUAACUGAAAACUUCAUAUUAGGCAAAUAAUGUCUUCAACUACUCAAAUUAUAGGAGCCCACUUCAAGAACCUCAGUAAGAAGAAAUUUUGAAUGGUUUAAAAAUAAUAAAUGCCAUGACAUUUUAAAUGGAAAUUUGGCAUAUUUUUGAGAUAAAUAUGAUUGGAUACAUGUGUGUGCCAUUCUUUUAUCUCUUCUUACUUUUACUGUAUCUCUACUUUAAUGAUGACAAUAAUAUGGCUACAGACAUGAAAUGGUUUAUCUUUCUUCUUUUCUUUCACUCUUUCAUUUAAAGCAUUUAUAUUAUUUUUUAUUGAUGUCAAUGUUAACAUUUUGGCAUCCUUCCCAAGUAUAUUGCAAGAAAUACAUCAAUAAAAACUUAAAUUUAAAAAAUAUGUAGUCUGGGGCCAGAUAAUAAUGGCAUAUUUCUUUAAAAUUAGGUAUAAAGGAGUACAGACGAGGUCAAAAUUCUAAAAUUGGAAUCUUGCCAUUAACAAACAGAACUGACAUUCUGAUACUUCUAUCUGCUGUGGACGUGACACAGAGACUUACCAAAGCCAAGAUACAUUUAUUCAAGGAGGAGCAACUUGCCUUUAUACUUAUACCUUUGUUAAUAACUUGUUUAAAGCAAUCCUUUGUUUUCUUUGCAUAUUUGAAUUGAUUUGCUAAAAGUUAUCUACUGUUAAAUAAGCAAAACUCAAAAUUUUCAAGCAUAUGGGACUUGUUCAGAAUCAGUUUUUAGUUUCUUUUUCAGGAUUUUGUACAAGUUGCAAGAGAAGAGACACAAAAUUAUCUUAUUAAUUCUAUUGCAAUAUGGAGAUACAUUUUAAACAAAUGGAAAUAAUCAAUAUUAGUAUUAUCUGUAUAUUUGUGUGUGUGUGUGUUGAUCUGACUAUAUUUUUCUUCAAAGGGAAAUCACAAAGGCCAAGUGUGUUUAUCAGGUAACUCACCUUAAGAAAACUUGUACUAUGUGAAAAGUCAAUUUCUUUAAAAACUGUCACCAACUCAACCCUGGUUUGUAAGUAGAAAAAACUAUCAAUUAUUUUUUAACAAUAGUAAUACUCCCAAGGUAUAUACUUCUGCCACAAAAAAUUAAGAAUAGUUUACUUAGCACGUUUUGUCAUUGUGGAAAUCAUUGAGAAAAAUCACAGUGGAAAGUUAUUUGAAAAGGCAUAACUGUCAUUAGAAAGAAAUUAAGAAUAAAGAAGGCAGGCCUGGCGUGGUGGCUCAUGCCUGUAAUCCCAGCACUUUGGGAGGCUGAGGUGGGUGGAUCUCCUGAGGUCGGGAGUUCAAGACCAGCCUGACUAACAUGGAGAAACCCCAUCUCUACUAAAAAUACAAAAUUAGCCGGGGUGGUGGCACAUGCCUGUAAUCCCAGCUACUCGGGAGGCUGAGGCAGGAGAAUUGCUUGAACCCAGGAGAUGGAGGUUGCGGUGAGCUGAGAUGGUGCCAUUGCACUCCAGCCUGGGCAAAAAGAGUGAAACUCCACCUAAAAAAAAAAUAAAAAUAAUAAAAAAAUAAAGCAGUAAAAACAAAAUGUUUGCAUGUGUCAUUAUCUUUGUAUUGGUCGUCUAUUUUGUAAACUUUCAUCAUUACUUUAAGCAUUUCAGGCCACUUCUUCAGUCAUUAUUGUUGAUUAUCAUUUAGUCCUCCAAUUCCAUCAGAGUGUGCUAAGGUAGUAAAAUGAAAUUAGGCACAAUGCAUGGCAGAAGGUAUAGCAAUUUGAAAUGUCUUCCAAAAUCAAUUAGAUAUUACUUUGGGUUAGCAGUGGAGGUGGGAACAUAGUUACAGGUAAUUGAGAAUUGGCUGUGAAUAUGGGCUCAUACAUUGUGUUUUUGAACAUGUUGAUAUAAUUCUGUGAAAUGAGAGAAAUGGCCUCAAAUCACCUGGCUGCUUCUGCUUUAUUUUAUGGUUAGAUAUUCAACUGCCAUCACAGACUACAAUAGAGGAAAGCUGCUAUUAUUUAUCAAAGACUAGACCUGCUAGCUGAAGUGCAGUUCACCAUUCACUUGGGUGGUGGUAUGGCUCACCUCCAAAACACUGCUCAUGAGUUGACCUUAUUAUUUUUAUCUGCAUGUCUUGACCUAUAGCGGGCUUAAAAUGUCAUUAUCAACCUAAUGGAAAUACAGAUUUUUCAUUUUUUUCCCUUUCUCUGCCUUCUCUUUUUUCUUUUCUUUUCUUUUUU